rnacentral:rRNA from 1 species
UACGUACCGUGCGAACGUUAUUCGGAAUUACUGGGCUUAAAGGGUUUGUAGGCGGCCUUGUAAGUCAGGUGUGAAAUCCCUCGGCUCAACCGAGGAACGGCGCUUGAUACUGCAAGGCUUGAGGGAGACAGGGGUAAGCGGAACUGAUGGUGGAGCGGUGAAAUGCGUUGAUAUCAUCAGGAACACCGGUGGCGAAAGCGGCUUACUGGGUCUCUUCUGACGCUGAGGUGCGAAAGCUAGGGUAGCAAACGGG